CCUACGGGUGGCAGCAGUGAGGAAUAUUGGUCAAUGGGCGCGAGCCUGAACCAGCCAAGUAGCGUGAAGGAUGACUGCCCUACGGGUUGUAAGCUUCUUUUAUAAAGGAAUAAAGUGAGGCACGUGUGCCUUUUUGUAUGUACGUUAUGAAUAAGGAUCGGCUAACUCAGUGCCAUCAGCCGCGGUAAUACGGAGGAUCCGAGCGUUAUCCGGAUUUAUUGGGUUUAAAGGGAGCGUAGAUGGGUUGUUAAGACAGUUGUGAAAGUUUGCGGCUCAACCGUAAAAUUGCAUUUGAUACUGGCAGCCUUGAGUACAGUUGAGGUAGGCGGAAUUCGAUGUGUAGCGGUGAAAUGCUUAGAUAUCACGAAGAACUCCGAUUGCGAAGGCAGCUUACUAAACUGCCACUGACAUUGAUGCUCGAAAGUGUGGGUAUCAAACAGGAUUAGAUACCCUUGUAGUC
rnacentral:rRNA from 1 species